rnacentral:lncRNA from 1 species
AGACCUACUGCAGCCACGCGGGCGAGCGGCUGUGUGGAUGUCGGCGAAGCCGCGGGCGAGGUACGGAACGGACGGACUGGUGUAAGAGCGUCGCGGCUCUCAGCUACGGGAGCGGGGCGGCCGGGCGUCUCGGGCCGUGGGCGGCGGGGCGGUCGGUCCGUGCCCUCCGCGCGGCUGGGGCAGUUGCGCGUCGGUGCCUCCCGCUGUCCUUCGUCCCACAUUCCAGCCCCGUCAGCUCCGCCUUCCCAGUUCCAGGCCGCCCUCGGCUCCCUUAAUCCUCACAGUGCGCGGCUUCUCCGUCUAACGUGCUCGUUGCCGGCAUCUCCAGCGCCCGGACAAGCCCUUGAAGGCCUGACGCGGAGCAUUUCCCGGCCGCCUCCCUCUUCGGCGGCUCCCCUCGUCCCGGCUCUCACUUCCCCGUCCAGGACGCUGGCUCCGAAGCAACAUUUGUGGUCGCGCGGGGCCCCUCCCAUGACCUCUCUGGAACGCGCCUAGCUGGGACGCUCGGACCCAGACCACAGCUCUUGGCCGCGACAGGGGCGCCGGGACUUGAUCCCCCGUCGCCCUGGGGGGACAGAAGCGUCCCGGAGUUGGGAGGGGAUUUGAAGCCUGUGGUCCUGACUUCCACCCCGUGGCUGAGGGCGAGGCUGCAGGGCUGGGGUUAGGAGCAGAAGUCCCUACUUCCGAACCGUCUGGGAGGAGAGCCGAGAGAUGUCCAUCACGGCAGUUUAGGGAGAGAGAGGGAGGGACUCUGCCGCUUUGGAGGCUAGGUCAUAGGCAGCUGGCGGUGUCUCAGCGCGGGUGACCAGUCCUUGCGGUUGGGAAAUGUGUCGUGGGCGCCCGUGGACUCGUUUUGCCUUUGAGAUUAAAUAGGAAAUUUUCCCAGGACGAGUUUACCGGAGCACCUUGGGAGUUGGUUUUUGGCUUGGAGAGCUACUUUCCCCCCCUAAACCUAGAACUGCUUUGUUUUUCUUUAUUAUAUUUUUUGAGAUGGGAUCUCACAAUGUUACCCAUGCAGGUGUCAAACUCCUGGCCUUAAGCGAUCCUCCCGCCUCGGCCUCCCAGAGUGCUGGGAUUAUAGGCGUCAGCUAUCGCGCAGCUUUAACUGCUGUUAAAGAGUCCGUUCCUUAAAAUUGUUGUACCAAGAAACUUGCCAGAGAUGCAAGAAAAUGUGAUUAUAUUGUUAAUAUUUAAUGAUAAAUAACAUUUUGCUUUUAAGAGUUACUGAUUCAUAUCUGCAGGAUUAAGAAAUGUUCAGGAUUUGAAUUUUUAAUGACCUUCCAAGCAGUCAUGUUUCUACUCUCUAGAAGUUAGCCAGUUGAGGAGAAGGGACAGUCAAGAUACUUUCAAAACAGUGUGGUAAGGAGUGUGAGCUAAGAUGGAGCACCGAGGAGGGAGUCGGGCAUUUAGGCCGUGCUGUCGGGCGUGGAGCCUGGAAGGGAUCGGGGAAUACUUUCUGCAUGUGUCUUGAAGAAUGAGUAACAUUCAGACUAACAGGGUGGAAUGAGGGGAAUCAAAGGAGAGGAGGCCAGUAACUACAAGGAGGUGCUUAUUUAUUUAUUUAUUGAGAGAGAGGGUCUCACUUUGUCACCCAGGCUGGAGUACAGUGACACGAUCACGAGUCACUGAAGUCUCAACUGCCUGUGCUCAAGGGAUCCUCCCACCUCAGCCUCCCAAGUUGCUGAGACUGCAGAUGCGUGCCACCACACCCAGCUGAUUUUUAAAUAUUUUGUAAAGAUGGAGUCUUGGUGUGUUGCCCAGGCUGGUCUCAAACUCCUGGACUCAAGCAAUCCUCCCGCCUCAAGUCUCCCAAUGUGCUGAAAUUACAGGCAUCAGCUACUGAGCCUGGAGGGUCGUUAUUAAAGUGAAAAAGUGCAGGACAGAGAUCUAGAAGCUUAGGCUUUAAUCUGAUGGUGACAGAACCAGGGAAGGGUUUUUAGCUGGGUCCCUGUGUGGUUAAAAUGGGUCUCUCUGGCUGGGCGUGGUGGCUCAUGCCUGUAAUCCCAGCACUUUGGGAGGCCGAGGCGGUCGGAUCAUGUGGUCAGGAGUUUGAGACCAGCCUGAGCAACAUGGUGAAACCGUGUCUCUACUAAAAACAGAAAAAUUAGCCGGCUGUGAUGGCACCUGCUUGUAAUCCCAGUUACUCAGGAGGCUGAGGCAGGAGAAUUGCUUGAACCCGAGAGACAGAGGUUGUGGGGAGUCAAGAUCACGCCAUUGCACUCCAGCCUGGGCAACAAGAGUGAAACUGCAUCUCAAAAAAAAAAAAAAAAAAAAAGUAACCAAAUGAGACCAGGAGUGGCCACAUGUUAGGCACAAUAGGUUUUAAGCCAAGAAUGGUUAUGAGAGACAAGGGAAUUCUAUACUGAUAAAAAGUUUAAUCCAACAAGAAAAUAUAAUAAUUUAAAACAUAUGUGCCUAACAACAGAGCAUCAAAACAUAUGAAGUAAAAAAGGAUAGAAUUAAAGGGAGAAAUAGAGUUUCAGGAUGAUCAUUGGAGACCUCACUACCUCAAUGUUAAUAAUACAGAGACCAGAUCAAUAGGAAAGAGAGCACUUGAACAACAUGAUAAUCCAAUUAGAUCUAAUGGUCAUAUGCAGACACCAACCCAACAACAGCAAAAUACACAUUCUUUUCAAGAGCGUGUGGGAUAUUGUCCAGAGUAUACAGUGUAUUAGGCUGCAAAACAAAUAUUAAUGUUUUAAAAGUUUGAAAGUAUGCAAAAUACUAAGUAUUUUCUAAUCACGAUGGAAUGAAACUAGAAAUCAGUAACAAGGAAAACUUGAAAACUCACAAAUAUAUGGAAAAUAAACACACUCUUGAUCACUGGUUGGAGAUGAAAUCAUACAGGAAAUUAGAAAACACUUUGAGAUGAAUGAAAAUGAAAACACAACAUACCAGAACUUAUGGGAUGAAGUUAAAGCAGCGUUCAGAGGGAAAUGUUUAGCUGUAAGCAUCUACCUUUAAAAAUAAGAAAGCCAGCAGUGGUGGCUCAUGCCAACAUCCCAGUAUUUUGGGAGGCUGAAGCGGGAGGAUCCCCUGAGGUCAGGAGUUCAAGACCAGUCUAACCAACAUGGCAAAAGCCCAUCGCUACUAAAAAUACAAAAAUUAGCCAGGCAUGGUGAUGCAGGCCUGUAAUCCCAGCUACUUGGGAGGCUGGGGCAGGAGAAUCGCUUGAACCUGGGAGAGGGAGGUUGCAGUGAGCCGAGAUAGCACCACUGCAUUCCAGCCUGGGUGACAGAGUGAGACUCUAUCUCAAAAAAAAUCAAUAAAAAUAAAAAAUAAAAGUAAGAAAGAUCUCAAAUUAGUCACCUCACUAUACCCUCUAAAGGAUCUAGAAAAAGAAGAGCUAACCCCAACCUAGCAGAAUACCAGAAACAAAGAUUAGAGUGGAAAUAAAUAAAGGAAAUUAAGAGAAUAGAUAAAAUUAAAAGUUUUUUUUACAGUUCAGCAAAAUUGACAAAUUUUUAGCUAGAUUGACUAAGAAACACAAGAAGACUCAAAUAUCCAAAAUCAGAAAUGAAAAUGAGGCCGUUACUGUGACUUUACAACAAUUAAGGUUAUCGUAAGAGAAUACUAUAAACAUAUGUACACCAGCAAAUUGAAUAACCAAAUGAAAUGGCAAAUCUCUAGAAACACAAACCUACCAAGACUGAAUCACAAAGAAAUAAAAAAUAUGGGUAAACCAACCAGGUGCAGUGGCUCGUGCCUGUAAUCCCAGCACUUUGGGAGGCCAAGGUAGGCGGAUCACCUGAGAUCAGGAGUUCAAGACCAGCCUGGCCAACAUGGUGAAACCCCUUCUCUACUAAAAAUACAAAAAUGAGCUGGGUGUGGUGGCAGGCGCCUGUAAUCACAGCAACUCAGGAGGCUGAGGCAGGAGAAUCACUUGAACUGGGAGGCGGAAGUUGCAGUGAGCUGAGAUCGCACCAUUGUGCUCCAGCCUGGGGGACAAGAGUGAGACUUCGUCUCCAAAAAAAAAAAAAAAAAAGAAAAAGAAAAUAUGGGUAAACGUAUAACUAGUAAGAAGAUUAAAUUACCAAUAAAAUCUUCCCAACACAGAAAUACCCUUGACUGGAUGGCUCCACCAGUGAAUUCUACCAGACAUUUAAAGGAAAAAUUAGUGCCAAUCCUUUGCAAACUCUUUCAAAAACUUGAAGAGGAGGAAAUACUUUCUUUUUUUUGUUUGUUUUGAGACAGAGUCUCGCUCUGUCGCCCACGCUAGAGUGCAGUGGCGCGAUCUUGGCUCACUGCAAGCUCUGGCUCCCGGGUUCACGCCAUUCUCCUGCCUCAGCCUCCCGAGUAGCUGGGACUACAGGCGCCCACCACAACGCCCGGCUAAUUUUUUGUAUUUUUAGCGGAGACGGGGUUUCACUGUGUUAGCCAGGAUGAUCUCUAUCUCCUGACCUCAUGAUCCGCCUGCCUUGGCCUUCCAAAAUGCUGGGAUUACAGGCAUGAGCCACCCGGUGCCCGGCCGAGAAGGAAACACUAACUCAUUCUAUGAGGACAGCAUUGCCUUGUUACUAGGGCCAGACAAAGACAGUACAAGAAAACAACUGACCAAUAUUGCUUAUGAACAUUGAUUAAAAAAUUCUCAAGAAGACACUGCCUGCUGGGUGUGGUGGCUCACGCCUGUAAUCCCAGCACUUUGGGAGGCCAAGGUGGGUGGAUCACAAGGUCAGGAGUUUGAGACCAGCCUGGUCAAGAUGGUGAAACUCUGUCUCUACUAAAAAUAAAGAAAAUUAGCUAGGCAUGGUGGUGGGUGCCUGUAACCCCAGCUGCUUGGGAGGCUGUGGCAGGGGAAUCGCUUGAACACGGGAGGCGGAGGUGGCUGUGAGCCGACAUUGCGCCACUGCGCUCCAGCCUGGGCAACAGAGUGAGACUCCAUCUCAAAAAAAAAAAAAGAAAAAAGAAAAAAAAGAAAACACUGCCCAACUGGCUGGCCGCAGUGGCUCAGGCGGGUAAUCCCAGCACUUUGGGAGGCCAAGGCAGGUGGAUCACUUGAGUUCAAGAGUUCAAGACCAGCCUGGGGAACGUAGUGAAACCCCACCUCUACCUAAAAUACAAAAAUCAGCUGGUUGUGGUGUUACCCUCCUGUGGUUCCAGCUACUUGGGAGGCUGAGGUGGGAGGAUCACUGGAACCAGGAAGUUGAGGCUGCAGUGAGCCGAGAUUGCACCACUGCAUACCAGCCUGCACGACAGAGUGAGACUCCAUCUCAAAAAAAAUAAAUAAAUAAAAAUAAAAAAUAAAAGAAAGAUCUCAAAUCAGUCACCUAACUAUACACUUUAAAGGACCUACAAAAAGAAGAACUAAACCCAAGCUAGCAGAAUAGGGGAAACAAAGAUUAGAGUGGAAAUAAAUAAAGAAAAGGAAAAGAAGAGAAUAGAUAAAAUUAAAAGUUUUUUUACAGGUCAGCAAAAUUGACAAAUUUUUAGCUAGAUUGACUAAGAAAAAAAAAAAGAAGACUCAAAUAUCCAAAAUCAGAAAUGAAAAUGAGGGCAUUAAGCUGGGCACAGUGGCUCACGCCUGUAAUCCCAGCACUUUGGGAGGCCAAGGCCGGCGGAUCACGAGGUCAGGAGAUCGAGACCAUCCUGGCUAACACGGUGAAACCCCAUCUCUACUAAAAAUAGAAAAAAAUCAGCCGGGUGUGGUGGCGGGCGCCUGUAGUCCUAGCUACUCAGGAGGCUGAGGCAGGAGAAUGGUGUAAACCCGUGAGGCUGAGCUUGCAGUCAGCCAAGAUUGUGCCACUACACUCCAGCCUGGGUGACAAAGCGAGACUCCAUCUCAAAAAAAAAAAAAAGAAAGAAAAAAGAAAAUGAGCACAUUACUGUGAUUUUACAGCAAUUAAAGUGAUUAUAAGAUAAUACCACAAACAUAGGUACACCAGCAAAUUGAAUAACCAAAUGAAAUGGCAAAUCUCUAGAAACACAAAGCCUACCAAGACUGAAUCACAAACAAAGAAAAAAUAUGGGUAAACCAGCUGGGCAUGGUGGCUCCCGCCUGUAAUCCCAGCACUUUCGGAGUGCACUCCAUUGCACUCCAGCCUGGGGGACAAGAGCGAGACUUCUCAAAAAAAUAGAAAGUAGGGGUAAACCUAUAACUAGUAAGAACAUUAAAUUACUAAUUAAAAUCCUUUCAACAAAGAAAUACCCCUGACUGGAUGGUUUUACCAGUCAGUUCUACCAGACAUUUAACGAAAAUUAAUGCCAAUCCUUUGCAAACUCUUUCAAAAACUUGAAGAGGAGGAAAUACUUUCUAACUCAUUCUAUGAGGCCAGCAUUGCCUUGAUGCUAGGGUCAGACAAAGACACUACAAGAAAACAACUGACCAAUAUUGCUUAUGAACAUUGGUUAAAAAAUUCUUAGGAAAACAGUGCCAAACUGGUUGGGCACAGUGGCUCAUGCUGGUAAUCCCAGCACUUUGGGAGAUUAAGGCAGGUGGAUCACUUGAGCUCAAGUUCAAGACCAGCUGGGCGUGGUGGCCCAUGCCUGUAACCCCAGCACUUUGGGAGGCCAAGGCGGGUGGAUCAUGAGGUCAGGAGAUCGAGACCACAGUGAAACCCCGUCUCUACUAAAAAAUACAAAAAAAUUAGCCAGGCGCAGUGGCGGGCACCUGUAGUCCCAGCUACUCAGGAGGCUGAGGCAGGAGAAUGGCGUAAACCCAGGAGGCUGAGCUUGCAGUCAGCCGAGAUCGUGCCACUGCACUCCAGCCUGGGUGACAAAGUGAGACUCCAUCUCAAAAAAAAAAAAAAAAAAAUGAGGGCGUUACUGUGACUUUACAGCAAUUAAAGUGAUUAUAAGAUAAUACUAUAAACAUAGGUACACUAGCAAAUUGAAUAACCAAAUGAAAUGGCAAAUCUCUAGAAACACAAAGCCUACCAAGACUGAAUCACAAAUAAAGAAAAAAUAUCGGCAAACCAGCUGGGCAUGGUGGCUCCCAGCUGUAAUCCCAGCACUUUUGGAGUGCACUGCAUUGCACUCCAGCCUGGGGGCCAAGAGCGAGUCUUCUCAAAAAAAAAGAAAGUAGGGGUAAACCUAUAACUAGUAAGAACAUUAAAUUACUAAUUAAAAUCCUUUCAACAAAGAAAUACCCCUGACUGGAUGGUUUUACCAGUCAAUUCUACCAGACAUUUAACGAAAAUUAAUGCCAGUCCUUUGCAAACUCUUUCAAAAACUUGAAGAGGAGGAAAUACUUUCUAACUCAUUCUAUGAGGCCAGCAUUGCCUUGAUGCUAGGGCCAGACAAAGGCACUACAUGAAAACAACUGACCAAUAUUACUUAUGAACAUUGGUUAAAAAAUUCUUAAGAAAACACUGCCAAACUGACUGGGCACAGUGGCUCAUGCUGGUAAUCCCAGCACUUUGGGAGGUUAAGGCAGGUGGAUCACUUGAGCUCAAGUUCAAGACCAGCUGGGCGUGGUGGCCCACGCCUGUAAUCUCAGCACUUUGGGAGGCCGAGGCGGGUGGAUCACGAGGUCAGGAGAUUGAGACCACGGUGAAACCCCGUCUCUACUAAAAAGUAUAAAAAAAUUAGCCGGGCACGGUGGCAGACACCUGUAGUCCCAGCUACUCAGGAGGCUGAGGCAGGAGAAUGGCAUGAACCCGGGAGGGGCAGUUUGCAGUGAGCCAAGAUCGUACCACUGCACUCCUGCCUGGGUGACAGAGCGAGACUCCGUCUCAAAAAAAAAAAAAAAAAAUUGAGUUCAAGACCAGCCUGUGCAACAUAGCGAAACCCCAUCUCUACCUAAAAUACAAAAAUUAGCUGGGUGUGGUGUUACACACCUGUGGUUCCAGCUACUUGGGAGGCUGAGGUGAAAGGAUCUGGGAAGUUGAGGCUGCAGUGAGACUGGGGUGAUCAGGCUGGAUAAUCCUCUCUCCCUGUUCCCCUCAUUUGGCUGCUCCAGACCCUGAGAAACUUCUACCUGUCCCAUGCCAGCUGAGGGUGUCUGAGGAGCUGACAUCAACCCCAUGGAUCUCCUGAACUGUGCUGGAAGGUAGAGACAGGCAGGGAGGCUUCCCAAUGGGUCAGGAGAACCUGACCCCACAAAUCAACUGAUCUUCAAGAGACAGGAUGGAGGGAGGGAUCAUUCUAGAGAACCCUGCUCCUUGUUCCUCCCUGUGGCAAAAUCUGGCGCCAGGAAGAGUUUGAGUGUGUAGGCGUGUGUGUGCAGGUGUAAGUGUGCAGGCACGUGUGUGCAGGUGUGCGUGUGCAGGCAUGUGUGUGUAGGUGUGCAUCUGCAGGUGUGUAUGUACAGACGUGUGUACAGGCAUGUGUGUGCAGGUGUGCAUGUGCAAGGUGUGUGUUUGCAGGCAUGCAUGUGCAGGUGUGCGUGUGCAGGCAUGUGUGUGCAGGUGUGUAUGUUCAUAAUGGCCCUAACGCCCAAGCUGGAAAGUUGUGGAUUUACGGGAAUGAGGGCAAGAAACACCUGGCCCGCCCAGGGCGGAAAACCGCUUAAAGGCAUUCUUAAGCCACAAAUAAUAACAUGAGCGCUCUGUGUCUUAAGGGCGUGUUCCUGCUGCAGUUAACUAACCCAACCUAUUCCUUUAAUUCAGCCCAUCCCUUCGUUUCCCAUAAGGGAUACUUUUAGUUAGUUGAAUAUCUCUAGAAACAAUGCUAAUGACUGGUUUGCUGUUAAUAAAUAUGUGGGUAAAUCUCUGUUUGGGGCUCUCAGCUCUGAAGGCUGUGAGAUCCCUGAUUUCCCACUUCACGCCUCUAUAUUUUUGUGUGUGUGUCUUUAAUUCCUAUAGUGCCGCUGGGUUAGGGUCUCCCCAACCAUGCUGGUCUCAGCACUGGUCUCUACUGAAAAUACCAUAAUUGGCUGGGCGUGGUGGUGGGCGCCUGUAAUCCCAGCCACUUGGGAGGCUGAGGCAGG